GUAAUUCUUCGGUUGACAAAAUGGUAAUUCUUCGGUUGACAAGAUGAUGAUUCUUCGGUUGACAAAAUGUGAUUCUUCGGUUGACAAAAUGGUAAUUCUUCGGUUGACAAAAUGAUGAUUCUUCGGUUGAAAAAAUGGUAAUUCUUCUAAUUAAGAAUCCGUUCGGCGUUUUUGUUUCAGAUGACCAGAAGGGUUGAAAUCAUGCACACUAGGACACCCUUCUUUUUUGGACCACUCACUUUGCCAGCUCAUAACUUUGCGAAUUUUGAGUUUUUCUUUCGAUUAAUUUUUUAUGUAAUCUUAAAAUAUCAAUAAACGAAUGAUAAAAAAAUGGAUAGUAAAAAUAUUUUUUGUUUCGUUUGUAUAGAGCUUCAAAAACCGUCCGAAAUUCAUGCCUCUAGACUAGAAUACCCCCUUAA